rnacentral:sRNA from 1 species
UAAUAAAAGCCGAAUCUUAUUUUUAAAAAUAAGUACGGGGGAACCGAUAUAGAUAGGGGUGAAUCCGCGUAUAUGCGGUAGGGCGUUCUGACUAUUCUCUUUUGCCCGAAUCCGACAGCUAACCCCGGAGGCAA